CUUCUCGCCAACCCGGUCAGGUCCGGAAGGAAGCAGCCGUAACGAGUUUUGGUCCGGGUCGCUUCCCAACCUUCCACC
rnacentral:SRP_RNA from 1 species